UUUUGCUUUCCUGUAUUCUUUGGAGGCAUAUGGGGCUUUUAGAUAUUUACGUAUAAAUGAUCAGCUGAAAAGCUGGAACCCUACAAAAUAUGGUUGAACAAAAACUGUAAGUUAUACCUUGUUUAUGGCUAUCAAGGUUUUUCUUUCUUUGAGUUGCUUUUAUGGCUUUUCUCGAUCUUAUAAAAACUGUUAUCCACUUCUUUAAAAACACCUCUUGCUUUCUUGAUUAAAUUAUAACCUUGGUUAAGGCUUACUGGUUUCACUUAAAAGGAUACUUUAGUUUAAAAGUUCAGAAGCAAAAAUGUCAGCUGUUUGUCCGAGCUAAGUCUGCUCCACUCAUCUUCACUCCUCCUUAUUCCUUCCUCUCUGCCAGUCAUGAAGUUUGAGCCAAUCAGAGGCAGCCAAUUGUUCAAACUGUAUUUCAGUAAGGCAAAUGCUGGAGCUGUAACCAAUCCAGCUAUUUCUACACCUAACUUCCAUUUCCUGUUCCUUUCUCUUUUCUGUCCAUGAAUUUUCAACCAUGCUACACCAUUAGAGUCUCUCUGUAACAGAGGGAAUGGCCUAAAAAGAAAAGGGCAAAAAGAUUUUCUGUCUUUUUGGGACAGAAAAGAGUUCCCCACUCUUUUGGGAACUGCAGCCUGGCCUGCAUCCCUGAAGUGGGUUAAGUCUUUUGGUAAAACUUCCAGGUGGAAGUCAGCCCCCCAGGUGGGUAGGUGGUGGAGUUCACAGGCUUUGUCUUUGGCUGAGAUGGGAUUUUAGAAUAGUUAACCACGGUAAUUGCCUGAAGCUGAGAACCCUCCCUUUAAAAGCUCUGUGUUUCUGCCUAUGUUGGGGAAAUUUGGGAUUUAGAGACGAGAAGGUCCUUUGUCGACAACCUAAAUGUCUUUUCCCUUCUUCCUCAAACUGCUUGUCUUCGCACGUCUGAUUUGGCCUUGUGGACAAAUGGCCGAGUUUUCUGUAUCAUCUCUGAACAUGUGGGUUCCAAGGUAGAGCUCCCACAGACUGCCAGGAGCACCAAGAGUCUACGCGAUGUCCUUGCUGGACCUGUUGUCCUUUGCUGUCUCAUUGCAACUGAGGUUUGUGGGAUUCUAGAUGUGGUACUGUUGAUGCCCAUGAGAUCAAAACAGAAAGCUUUGGUAAGUAAAUGCUGACUAUAUAUUUGGGAAAUAAUGUUUUCCUAUCUGCUUGGCUGAGAUGAAAAUGCAGAAGAAAGAUAGUGGCAAAAACACCUGGUCUGUAUAAGACCAAAAUACAAGCUCCAUGUUAGCACAGACUUGGCCUAUAUUAUGCACCACUGCAUGCCCAGCCCAUGGUA